ensembl:lncRNA
CAAACUUCUGACAUCUCUGCCAUCUGUUGGUGACGGUCGUACCCAGCAGUACCACUGACUGCAGUUUCCAAAGUCACGCUGGAUGUGCAAAGUGGUGCCUCAUUUCCAGGCCAGGUUUCUUUGUUGUUUGUUUUUCCAGGAAUCCCCCAUCCUUUUCUCUCUCGUUUUUAUUCCUUGUUUUAUUCUUCAGCUUCUCGAGGCUGUGUUUUGUGGUUUUUUCUCUUAGCCCUUUCCCAUUCUCCAGCCGGACACGACGCCAGAAGUUAGAGAAAAACCCAUUUCUCCACCUCUCCUUCAAUACACCCAAGGGAUGGGAACUCUCUCCCAAGGGAUGGGAACCUCUUGGCAUGAAGCUGAGUCACCAUCCCUGGAGGUGUUCAAGAACCACGUAAAUGUUGUGCUAAUGGACGUGGUUCAGUGGGGGAAAUGGUGGUGGUGGAUGGUUGCACUGGAUGGUCUUGGAGCUCUUUUCCAACCCUGGUGAUUCUGUGAAACAUCUGGACUUUUCCCCAUGGAAAUAAUUGCUGGGAGUGAUUUGAGGGGCAAAGCUGGCCUAAAUGGUGGGGAAGUCUCCCAUGCUUUAUUCAUUCCAAGCACUGAAUUCAGCGGGAGUUGGGAUGUACCUCGCAAAGGAGGAGCUGAGGUGGAGUGGGAAGUAAAGGUGAGGAUGCAGCAGUGAGAAGAGGCUGAAGGGGCAGUGCAUGAGUGCUGGGGGCUCACGUUUCCAGCCUGCACUGCAAAACUGAUGGGAAGCUCUUAGUCCAACCUCACUAAAACAAACUGGUGUGACCGGCACCUCUGUGUCUGGGAAGCCACUGAUGGGAUCACCAAGGUCACAAAAUGGGGCUCCCUGGGACACAGCCAGCCCCAUCCCUGGGCACACGGGUGGCUGAAUCUACAUUGGGUUUCCUGGAAGGUACUGCUUUGGUGCGAGUCUGAUGAGCAUCUCCAGUGAUGAGCAGCGGGAUGCUGGUGGCUAUGGGAUGCUAGGUGUGGAUGAAGCUGGUUUUUCACCCCCCUCUGCAAAGCAGAGGGACACCCCAGUGAUGUUUCAGUCACCUCAGUGGUGGAGGCAGCAUCCAUAGGACAUCACGACCCCACACAGCUCAUGGUGGGAAGAACCAUGAGCAAGAAAUCUCUCUCUGCUGAUGGCGCGCGAACCUUCUCUGGUGAUACGAGCACUGAUUUGGGAGGAGUGGAGUUUUUUACCCUGGGGCACUCCAGGAGAUCAAACUGAUGGUUUGGUUCAGUUUUAUAGCCAGAAGAGAAAUCUACUGUGCUUACUUUGAAUGCAACACGUGUUCUUUUUUGUUUCCCUAAUCUUCCGGACUAAAAAGGGGCUAAAUGGAGCCUGAAGUAUAAUUUUCAGACAAAGAAAAUAUAAAGAAGAACAGUCAUCGAGGCUGCAUGGUAUUUUUUCCUCACGUUUAUCUCCACUUUCCAAACAAACCUCAAGUUUAGUCACUGUGUAAAGGUCUGUCUCGAUGAAUUAGCUGUUUAACAAUGGUUUUCUCCCUAAUUCCAGCUAAUGGAAUAAUAGGACCUGCUGGAGGCAAGUUCAUAAACUGCGGGCUGUGUAAUGGAUCAUCUCCAGUCUCUGCCACUGACUCCUCAAGAGAGACUCAUUGACAUACCUUUGCAUGAAGCAAUUCACUGCUUCUUGGAUCUCCCAUGAUUGUAUGAUUGAAGGAUGACCACGGAUACUGCAGAUCUCCAGAACAGACCACCUCACCCUGACAAACAAAUGCACGUUCCUCCGUAAUUUUCCAACAGGAUUUGCAGUGGGUGGGCACAGGCUGGAGAGCUUGGCAGCAUUUCCAGUAGGGUUGUUUGCUGCAGAAAACACUUAUUUUUAUCCAUGUAUGGAAUAAUUGUCUCCUGGUGUCUGUGAUGAAAUCUGUGAUUUGUGCAGCCACGCUCCCUCUCUCUACAAGCUCUGCACCAACACUCUCUGUACACCCCAAAGCAAGACACCAACGCUGGCUUUAACCAUCCUCCUCUCCAUCCAUAUAAAUCCCUUUCUGUAAACCUACCCCCGGCUCUUCUCAGCCAGAAGAGCAUGUCGUGGAGGGCAGGUCCUACUUCGGCUGGUUGGUUGGUUGGUAGCCUUUUCCCACACUGGUCAGCAACUCCCAGACCAGAGAACCUUAUCUCUGUACCUCCCUGUCCAAAAGGAGAGCCUACGCUGACACCCCCACCCCUCCGACGUGUCCUCAGUGCCCUCUGAUGCGUCCCUGAGGCACAGGAGGCGGCGGAUGGAAUGUUUUCCUCCUCACAGUGCCCAGUCUCAAUCUGAUGCUGCUGUGAGUCACUGCAGGGAGGUGCAGGUGAGGGAGGGGAGGAUGUCCAGCUUCAUCAGGAGCGGCGAUGAUGGUGAUGAUGGUGCAAACGCCAGGGACAGAAGAUCUGUCUGAAGAUGAAUUCCUAUUAAUGAAGCCCCUUGGGGUGUCAAGGGCACACCACCACCACCUGGAGUCGCAGGGACCAUGGACCAGAGGUGUCACCCCAUGAGGAUGUUUCCUGGCCUUGCUCCACCUGAACCCCUUCAGAUGGCCCCGAGCUCCUCAUUGGAGAGGAGUGACAUCAACCAUAGCACCUGGCAUCAUUGGAGAGGUGUGCCACUAACCAUAACCCUUGGCUGCCCUCACAGACCUGUCCUGGGACACACUAAGGAGCAUCUCCUGCUUGCUCCAAAGCCAAUUCUUCUUUCAGGUUCUCUCUCUGGCUAAGACCAGUAACAGAACGAGGAGUGAGGUGGAUUUUCACCCUCAUUUCCAGCUUUCACGGGAUAAAUUUGCAGGUCAAGAAGAGCUGGAGGAACCACCCGGGAGCUGUCGGUCUCAGGGUCUCUGUUAGGACCUGCCCUAACAAGAAAUGAAUUUUCUCCUCUUGCUCAGAGCAGAGGCCAAGCAGGGAGUGAGGCCAGAAAAACAAAGGGUCACGCUGGAGUUUCUUUUUUUUUUUUCCUUCACUUUAACUCCGAAAUAAAAAUACAGCUCAAGCUUGUUUUGGGAUUAACGAGAAAAAAAAAAACCCUCUUGAUGGGAACCAUCUGUGGCUGGGAGAUGCCGGCUGCUCUCUGCUUCCCACCCAGCAUGCAGAUGCUGUUAUAUGGGGUGUGUUCUCCCCCCCCCCAGAUAUUAUUCCUCUCACCCCAGUGCUGCUCAGAGCAAUCCCAAGUAUUUAAGGAGGCUUUUCUCUGGAUGGGCCCAGCGUUGCAAAGCAGCAGCAGCUCAUUACUCCCAUGUAACAUAAUAUUUGCUUUCCUCAUUACAGCAGCACUGCCCAGCACAGCUUGGUGGUGGCUGCUGGUCUUGCUAAGUGCAAAUACUGGAAGAGUCUUUGUUGUAACCUUUCCACCCCAGAUGCUACUUCGUCUUCGAGGCAAAUUUGCUGUGGCCUCUCCAACCUGUCCUGCAGACUGAGAGGGGGAAAUCUGCCCCCAAGAGUGGAGUUGUACCAGUCAGAAUGAGGAUUUGCAUCGGUGCCCCCAUGGUUCGCAGCACUCUGGUGGUGGCUGCUCACCCCAAAUUGGACUUGGGGUGCCCACCCAUGGAAUGUGAGCACUCCUAAACCAGAGGAUUUUUGAGGAGAGGAUAAAAAAAGGUGUGUUUAAAGCACUGGAAACGCUGCAGAGCAUCCAGAGAAGGAAAAAGAGCAGGGAAAGGAGGGAAAGCUGAAAAUGGAACCAACAGAAGUCCAGGCAGGUUUGGCCCCAGGAGGAUGUUGGGAGAUGCUGAGGGCCUUUCUCUGCCCUCAUCGUGCUUUCUGAAGGCGAGAAGGCUGGGAUGCUUUGUGCAGGGACUGGAUGUGGGCAGGUGGAGCAGAAAGGUGGAGAAGAGACGAGACCAACAGGUUCCUGUGCUGCUGGGAUUGUGAGCAGCUGCACGCCUGAGCUGGGAUCCACCCUCUGCUGUGAGACAGCUCAUGAAAUGGGUCCAAAUGGGCUCUUUGGGGGUUUUAAAAACCUGGAUUGAAGGGAGGAUUUUUACAUGGGCUCCACUGUCUUUUGGGUGAGUCCAAACCGUGCUGGGGAGAUGGUUGGGACUUACUGGCACGAUGUAUGGAGUGUGCCUGCAGCGUCCUCCUGCUUGUCCCCAGCAUUGCUCACUGAACAUGAAGAUCCUCGAGCUAUUUUAAUCUGUUUUAACUAAACGAAUCAGCUCUCUGCUCCGUGGAACCCACUGUGGUUGGAGAGGAAGAGGAUGCGUUUUGCAUUCCAGAGGAUGAAGGCAAAAUGCUUUUCAACUUCUGAGGUUGGCAAAAUCAAUUAAUAGGACACCGUCUCGCCCCGCAGCCAGGGUGCAGCCCGUGCUCCUGCGUUAGGAAUACAGGAUGCUCUGAUGAUGCUGUACCCAGCCCUGCUCUGACCACAGGUUGAGAAGUCAUCUCUGCUCUGCCCAGCUGUGCACUCAGCCCUGCCCCUCCUCCAUCGUUAGGGAUUUGUUUGCUUAUUGCUGAAGUUAAUUUGGGUUUUGCCCUGCCCCGGCACCAUGGAAGCCCAGGGACAAGAAGCUUUUGCAGCUAAUCCUGGCCCAACCAGUGCAGCCAGUCAAGUGGGUCCAUUUCCCUGCUGGUGACCAUGAAGAGGUAGCAGGAGCUCUGCCAAUACAGCUUGGCUUGCAGAAUGACAUCCUUUGUCCAGGCUCUUUGCAUCCUCCUGUUAUUUCACACCCUGCUUAGAUUUCUUCUGGGAGAUCACUCUGGCCUCUGGCCUCUAAAACAGACGUAAACCCAUCUGGGCUGUGAGCAUGGCACUUUGGUGAUGAGAGACCACAAACAGAGCAUCGGGAAGAGCUGGGUGGUCUCAGCUCUUGACGUGACACUAUGAACUGCCUGGUAAAAAUCUCCUUGGAAGAUCUGGGGCCAGAAAUCUUGAGCUGCUCCAAGCAGGGAUGGGCAGCACGUGGGGCAGCUCUGACCUUCGACUCAUUUUGCCUUUGGGAAAAACCAAUUCUUAUUCUUAUCCCUCUGCUCUGCUCGGAAUCUUCUCCGUGAGCCCAGGAGCUGGCUAGUUCUGCAAGGAGGACUUUGUCUUUCCCAUAUCUUACAUUCAGAUCCUGAUAGGGCAGAUAAGCCCCAGCUCCUUUUCCUCCCACAGCUUCCAGCCACUGUCCCACACCUGCAGCAUUGCAUGGGGUUGCUGUGGCCAAAGCACAGGACCCGGCACUCGAUCUUCUUGAACUCCAUCCCAUUGGCCUCAGCCCAGUGAUCAGCCUGCCCAGAUCCCUCCGUAGGGCCUUCCUAACCCCAGGCAGACCCACACUUUCCCCAGCUUGGUGUCAUCUAUCUGCAAACGUACUGAGGGUGCACUCAGUGCCCUCAUCCAGGCCAUCAGUAGAGAUAUUGAAGAGCACGGGCCCCACACCGACCCCUGGGGAACACCACUCAUGACCAGUCACCAACUGGAAGGAGCUCCAUUCACCACCACUCUCACUCACCACCAGCCAGUCCAUGGGCACCCCACACACGCUUUGCUUCACCCAUCAAAAAGCAAUUUACCAACACUUGUAGGACCAGCAUGAUGUAGAACUACCUUCUGUCGCGGCAGGAAGAAAACGCAUCCCUUUUUUAUUAGAAAAGGAGGGGGAUGGAUUCAUGAAGUGCUUUUCAGACAAUGAGGUUUUGAACUCGGGGGCUUUAAUUUCAGCAUUGUUUGUGCAAACACGCUCUGUCACGGACGGGCUGAGCCAGCAGCUGUGAUGGGCCUUUCAUCCCUGCCUGGCAAUAAAGGCCCUGUUGUUGGGUCACCGAACAGAGACCUUCCAUCGCCAUGUCCCCCUCCGAGGGAACGCUGGGAUGCAGAUAAUCUGAAAACCGAUGUUCCCCUUUGCUUAUCCACUGAAUAAGGGAUGCUUUGUUCGGGGAUACAGGUCAGGGCUGUGGCAGGAGAUUUUGUUUCAGCUACCUGCAAACAAGCUAUGAGAAGAAUGCGGUCGGUUCCUCUCGGACUGGAGAAACGGGGAGAUAUCACCCAAUGGUGUUGUUUAAUAUUAACUGGACCGGUGCAUGUCUAUAAAGGGUUCGAUUGUGUACCUAUCUGUGUUUAAAUGUAAAUGUCACCUCCACGGUCAUAUUCCUGUGGUCAAAGCCUUGCACAGGCUGGAGCAGGUGAAAGUCCUCCUGGAGGAAACUGUGUCGGCGAUGGUUUUUGUCAAUAAAGAUUUGUGUGUUGGCACCAUGAGCCCAGGCCUUCCCCACUCUGUGCUGCAUGGGACGGGAGCUCCAGCAGCAGCACCCACCUGGGUUUUGGAUCUUAGCCUUCAUCCUCAC